rnacentral:rRNA from 1 species
UGGGGAAUAUUGCACAAUGGGCGAAAGCCUGAUGCAGCAACGCCGCGUGAGUGAUGAAGGUCUUCGGAUUGUAAAGCUCUGUCUUUUGGGACGAUAAUGACGGUACCAAAGGAGGAAGCCACGGCUAACUACGUGCCAGCAGCCGCGGUAAUACGUAGGUGGCGAGCGUUGUCCGGAUUUACUGGGCGUAAAGGGUGCGUAGGCGGAUGUUUAAGUGAGAUGUGAAAUACCCGGGCUUAACUUGGGUGCUGCAUUUCAAACUGGAUAUCUAGAGUGCAGGAGAGGAGAAUGGAAUUCCUAGUGUAGCGGUGAAAUGCGUAGAGAUUAGGAAGAACACCAGUGGCGAAGGCGAUUCUCUGGACUGUAACUGACGCUGAGGCACGAAAGCGUGGGUAGCAAACAGGAUUAGAUACCCUGGUAGUCCACGCCGUAAACGAUGAGUACUAGGUGUAGGAGGUAUCGACCCCUUCUGUGCCGCAGUAAACACAUUAAGUACUCCGCCUGGGGAAGUACGAUCGCAAGAUU